rnacentral:rRNA from 1 species
GGGGAUCUGCCCGAUAGAGGGGGAUAACCACUGGAAACGGUGGCUAAUACCGCAUAACGUCGCAAGACCAAAGAGGGGGACCUUCGGGCCUCUCACUAUCGGAUGAACCCAGAUGGGAUUAGCUAGUAGGCGGGGUAAUGGCCCACCUAGGCGACGAUCCCUAGCUGGUCUGAGAGGAUGACCAGCCACACUGGAACUGAGACACGGUCCAGACUCCUACGGGAGGCAGCAGUGGGGAAUAUUGCACAAUGGGCGCAAGCCUGAUGCAGCCAUGCCGCGUGUAUGAAGAAGGCCUUCGGGUUGUAAAGUACUUUCAGCGGGGAGGAAGGCGACGGGGUUAAUAACCGCGUCGAUUGACGUUACCCGCAGAAGAAGCACCGGCUAACUCCGUGCCAGCAGCCGCGGUAAUACGGAGGGUGCAAGCGUUAAUCGGAAUUACUGGGCGUAAAGCGCACGCAGGCGGUCUGUUAAGUCAGAUGUGAAAUCCCCGGGCUUAACCUGGGAACUGCAUUGGAAACUGGCAGGCUUGAGUCUUGUAGAGGGGGGUAGAAUUCCAGGU